rnacentral:rRNA from 1 species
AUGAACGCUGGCGGCGUGCCUAAUACAUGCAAGUCGAGCGAACAGACGAGGAGCUUGCUCCUCUGACGUUAGCGGCGGACGGGUGAGUAACACGUGGAUAACCUACCUAUAAGACUGGGAUAACUUCGGGAAACCGGAGCUAAUACCGGAUAACAUGUUGAACCGCAUGGUUCAACAGUGAAAGACGGUCUUGCUGUCACUUAUAGAUGGAUCCGCGCCGCAUUAGCUAGUUGGUAAGGUAACGGCUUACCAAGGCAACGAUGCGUAGCCGACCUGAGAGGGUGAUCGGACACACUGGAACUGAGACACGGUCCAGACUCCUAAGGGAGGCAGCAGUAGGGAAUCUUCCGCAAUGGGCGAAAGCCUGACGGAGCAACGCCGCGUGAGUGAAGAAGGUCUUCAGAUCGUAAAACUCUGUUAUUAGGGAAGAACAAAUGUGUAAGUAACUAUGCACGUCUUGACGGUACCUAAUCAGAAAGCCACGGCUAACUACGUG